rnacentral:tRNA from 3 species
UGACAAUUAGUUUAAGCUAAAACAAGUGAUUUCGACUCACUAGAUUAUGAAAGUUCAUAACUGUCAA